rnacentral:lncRNA from 1 species
GUUUGUUUUCUCUGCUUGAGCUGAGACAUCCAUCCUCUCCUGCCCUUGAGACAUCAGAGUUCCAGGUUCUUGAGCCUUCAGACUCAAACUGGGAUGCACAUCAUUGUUCUCCUGGUUCUCAGGACUUUGGACUUGCACUGGAAUUACACCCCAGCUUUCCUGAUUCUACAGUUUGAAGAUGGUAGAUUGUGGGACUUCUCAGACUCCAUAAUGAGGCUUCUGCAUGAUUACCAGCUCAUUGGCUGUAUCAGCAACCCGUUUUUUCUAUCCAGUGAGUGUGAAAGAGAUGAGGUUUCUACGGUCCUUAAAAAGCCUGGAUCCAUCAGCAUUGGAGCUUGGAGAGGAGUUGAGGACAAGUUGCAGCAAUCAACUCUGACUUAAACAAUAGCGAAAGGGCAUUGGUGAGGACACCAGGAAGCUGAUGAAUACACAGCCUUCAGCAACAUCGGGAGUCAGAGCUGCUCCAGGGAUCUUGGCAGGAGGGAUUUGUGGCUCUCCUUCCAGAAUGCUGUCAAGGGUGACAGAGGCCUAAGCACCUUUCAUCCUCAUGUAAUUUGUGCUCCAGAUUUGAAGACCAGGGUGGAAGAACCUCAUUGGCUUUCCUUAUGUCACCUGCUCUGCUAAUAGGUGGUAUCGUUUGAUUGGCACCUCUGCCAUUCCCACGUAGAGUGGAAAAGGGCAAUCAGACAGAAACAGAAGGUGCCGUCUGCCUCCCUCCUCCCUACCCCUUCCCCUGCCACCCACAACCCUACAGAUUGGGAAAGGUAGAAUUAGGAAGUAUGUUUAGAAUUUUUGGUGUGUGGUCUGGACCUCUAAGAUGGCUCAUCAUAGCCUAGCUGGAAAAUGGAAAGCCUCCGUCAGAAAUUAAAAAUCAAAUGUAACAGUGC